rnacentral:misc_RNA from 1 species
UGUUGACCUUCGGAAGUGUGGAGUAUCGUGUUACGUAGUUAUUUGCCACAUGUGUUUAACAUUGUUUUAAAUUGAACUAAAAAGGUUGAAUUUAUCACGUUGAUUUAGAAUUUAAAAUGUCUGAUAAAGAACCAAGGAAACGAAGGAAAAAGAAGGAACUCCAUAAAAAAGAGGACUUGUCUGCAGAGGAAUCUGUUCCAACACCUCGAGAGAAAUCACAAGAGCAUACUUCUAAAGAAAGUGAGCGGGAUGUUAAUGAACUGUUAGUUUGUAAUGAGCCCAAUGGAUUUGCAAAAUGUGUUUUUUUCAUUCUUUUCUCCAUCCUGGUGGUCGCUGUUGCUGCCGUGUUUUUAGCCCUUCAUGGAGCUGAUAGAGGAGCAUUGGAUUUCAUGAGUGAAUCUGAACAUGUAGAAAAUGAAGAGCCUUUAUUUCAUGCUGAAAUUCAUCCAGAAUGGGAAGAAGCAGAGGAGGAUGAAGGGUGGACACCCAUUACAGAAACAAAAGAACAUGAAGAAAUAAUUGAAGACAUUGUGGAAGGAUUACAUGAAAAGAUUGAAACACCUUCUCGUGCCGAAGAAGCAAAACUUACAGAUGAAGAAACUGUACAAUAUAUAUCAGAUAUUGAAGAUUUUGAUAAAGAAAUAGAUAAACGCAAUGGUGAAGAAAACAGAAACCUUGCUGAUGAUGUAUCGGUAGAAAUGGAAUUAAAAGAUAUUAAUACAGAGACACAAACUGAAGAGAUUCCAAAAGAUAUACAGUUUGUGGAUGUGUUAGAGAAAACAUUAAAUCAAAAUCUUCCUUAUUCUUCUGAAGAACUACCUAGUCCUCAACCAGGUGCAAGCAUCCCAGAAGAAAUUGCUCAAAGUCCUAGUCGGGAUGAAGAAAUUAGUAGUUUAUCAACAAAUGACAAGCAAAGUUCUAGUCCACAUGACAAAGAUGAUAUAUUAAUUCAAGAAGAAGUCAGUGAAGAACAAAUUAUAUUCCACAAGUCAGCAGAUCAGGCAGACCAACCUACACCUCCCGUCCAGUCCGAUGCUGUCCCUGAAACCCUGCCAGAUGUUUCACAAAAAACAAGUGACGAUGACAAAACUUCAGAAUGGGAUGCUCAACAUAGUAUUCGUGAAGAAGAACACACUGGUGUUCCUGCAAGCCCAAUGUAUGAAAAAGAAGAUAUAACAAAUAGCAUUGACUUUGAGAUUAAAGAUGAAUUAGACGAGGCGGACAAUAAUUUAGAGAAAUCUCCGGAGAAAGCUUUAAAACACUUUGAAGAGCUGCUAAAGCAGCACCCUCAAAGUCCUCGUGCAGAAUAUGGGAAAGCUCAAAGCUUGGACAGGAUGGCUGAACAGCAACGCAGUAAUUCCUUAUUAGAACAAGCAGUUGCUGCCUACCAAGAUGUCCUCAGUAUGCCCAAAGUCCCGGACAAAUUGUAUUUACUUGCUGCUAACCGAGCAGUAGAUAGAAUGAGAUUUAGAGGUCUGUUAGGAAAAGCUCUUAACUUACAGAAGCAUUUAGCCGACAAAUAUCCAGAAAAUGUUAAUAUCCAUAAUCAGUUGGCUGUGACAUACUUGCUAGUGGGAAAAGGACAAGAAGCUAAGAAAGUGUUAAAAAAGAUUAUUAAAAAGCACCCAGAUAUUGGAUAUGCUAAAGUCCAUUACGGUUUCAUCUUGAAGACUGAGGACAAUAACUAUGAUGAUGGAAUUAAGUACCUGCGUGAAGGAAUUGCAACACGAGAACCUGGUGUUAUAGAUGGAAGGUUUUUUUUUCACCUGGGUGAUGCACUUGCUAGAACUGGAAAGAAGGAUGAGGCUAUGGAGGUAUAUGAGCAGGGUGUAAAAGAGGGAGUCUUCCUUUCUGCAUAUCAGAGAUCUCUUUACAAUGUGAAAGGGUUGAAAGGCCAACCCUGGUGGAUGCCAGAAGAAACAACAUAUUACAACUACAUUCUGCUGUUAGAGAAAAACUGGAAGAUCAUUAAAAAUGAAGCUCUUGCCAUCCUAAAUGAACAGCAGUCUGGUUUUCGACCAGAGAGUGAAGGGUUGCGGGACACGGGUGACUGGAAACAGUUUGAAAUGUUUGCUAGAGGUCAGAAAUUUGCCAAAAACUGUGACAGAGUGCCUCGGACUUGUGCUUUGAUUGAGAAUAUACCCGAUGCUGUUGGAUGUAAACGAGGACAGGUGAAAUUCUCUGUCAUGCAACCUGGCACUCACGUCUGGGCUCACACAGGUCCUACUAAUUGCAGACUUCGAGCUCAUCUUGGCCUUGUCAUUCCAAAGGGUGUAAGAAUUCGGGUGGCAAACGAAACAAGAGAAUGGACUGAAGGCAAGACAAUUGUGUUCGACGAUUCCUUUGAGCACGAAGUUUGGCACAACGGUAACCAGUCACGUCUUGUGCUGAUUGUAGAUUUCUGGCAUCCAGAGUUAACAGCGCACCAGAAGCGUACUUUGACUCCCAUCUGAAUACGACACUUUGAGUGCCUUAUAAUUUCAGUGUGGAAAUUGAAACUAAAUGAAAUAGAAGCUAGUGCUUUUUAUUUUACUGCCAGCCAAAGCUUUACCCCAAUUAUUUACUUGUAAAAAGUCAUUUAACUCACCUAAGAUAUUGUAAUGAUGAUAUACUCAUUCUAAUGCUAGUUAGAGUUUACGCUUAAAAUAUACAAUUUAUUUGACAUGUUAUUAAAGACAAUUUUUAAUUUAAUAAAAAUUUUUGUUGUUUUUGAAAUGGGGGUAGUAGAAUAAGAAAUGAAUAAUCCUGGUUAUCAACACAAACUAUUUUUGUUAGAGUAAAUGAAAAGUGAUUUAAAACAAAUGUUUACUUUCAAGAUCUCAAGGUAUGUGGUUUAGCAUCCAAAUCUAUAGAGCAUAUAAUUUAUAGAAACCUUUAUUUUCUUUGAUGUUUUGUUUGUCAACUCGUAAGAUACAGAAUACAAAAUAUUAUUAGUACAUGCAAGUGUGUAUUUUAGGCUGUAUAGAAAAUAUCCGAGAUACAACGAAAUAAAUAUUACAGAGUAUAUUCAAUUUUAACAAAAGUAGUAUUUGACUCGGUCCGUGAAUUUUUAAGGUGUCGAGUUGUGUUUAAAAAAAUAAGGUAGCUUCUUGUUAAAAUUGUAUUUGUAUAUCCUGUGUUGUUGUAAUUUGUAUGUGAUGUUGUGCUAGAACAUGUUUUUUAAUAGUUUUUAUAGUCAGUCAUAAUUACCAUCCUAUAGUAGUCAUUUGAUUUGUAAAAGUUUAUUUAUUUAUUAAAAUUUUUGUGUAUCCAAGUUAAAACAGGUGCAGCUUUUUAGAAAUCAAGUUAAUAGGUUUGUGAAUGACGUGAGGUCAUAUGUAUGUUAUGGAAUUUAUCAGAGUAACAAGUAUUUAUGUUUUGGAAUUUCUAACUCUUAAAAAGAAAAAAAAAUUCAUAUGAAUACAUCAUUCUUUCAAUGAGAUAGUAUCGUCACUGUGUCUCAUGGUAUAUUUUGUAUCCCAGAACCAGUUGGUCAAAUAUUACUGUUUUGGUUCAUAAAAUUGUAUCUUGAAAGGUAUUACUUAUUUUUAGUUUGUUCUAGUAGAAUAUAGGAAAAAAAGAUUUAUAUAAAACUUAAGUUAAACUAUUGCAGGGGUCUUACAAAUGUGAAUACUUACAAUGCAAUAGAACUUUCUGAAUAUAUAAAAAAAUUAAAUUCUGUGGAAAUCGUUUUUAAAUUUAAGAAAUUAAGUAUAUCUUAUUCUGUUAGCACUAAUUGUUUUAAAGGUUUUGAUGUUUUACUUAACUGACUGUUUAAGUGGAAAUGAAAUCUAUAUGUGCAUCGUAGCUUUCACAUGUUCUUCAUUAAUAUCUUUGUUGGUCUUUUUCUUUUAAGCAAAUCACAUGUAAUUAAUAAGCUAGAGACUACUGAUGUAUUGUAUCGAUUCUUAACUUGUUGUUUAGAAUUUACUACUAAAUAUUUAUUUAACUAAAAAACAAUCUGUCUCAAAAUUAACAGUGAGAAUUGAGACUUGGCACUAGACAGAGAACAGAUUUCCUGUUGCCAACUGAGCCAGGAAGGUUUUAUGAACUAUUUUAAUUCUUUUAUAAUUACACUCUUCAUUGUUUCUAAAGAUGGAUUUAACAGUGUUGAAACCUGUAAGCUAAAUGCCAACUUCCCUUUCAUCGUGGAAUGAUCCCAAAGUGCAAAUCAUAUUUAAAUUUCAUUCUUUAAAAAUACUUUUUUAUAGAGGGAGAGAGAUAAUGUUUAAUAAAUUCUCAUAAUAAAAAAAGAGAUACAUUUUUUUAUUUUUUGUAAAUGAUUAUUUUUGAAAACCAGUUAAAGUAUGUCAUUAUCUUGGUUAUUUGAACAAACAUAAUUUUGUUUUUCCAGGCAUGUAUAACAUUUUGUUAAACCAGCAAUUUUUGUUAUAAUUAGCACAGCUGAAAAACUACUAUAAGUGUAAACUGUGAUUACUUAAAAAAGUACAAUAUUUAUUUUGGUGCAAACGUUUUUUUAAUUAGCCCUCAGAAUUUAAACAGUAGAAUAUAAUUAGACCUGUGAAAAGUUAGUUAUCAGUUUUUAUUAUCAUAUUUUUAUGUCAACAAGUGUUUUAAUUCUCAAAAGAAAGGCUACUUAUUCAUAAAUAAUGUUCUAAAGAAAACAGAGUGAAAAUUAGGUAACUUGAGAGUUAUGAAUACUGCCACAUCAUGGCAAAAGUGAAAAGUUUCUGAAUUAGGAAUUCCCUACUACAGAACAAAACAUUACAAUUAUUACUCCAAAGUAGGGUCUGUUGAAAGUUAGUAUUUUUUCAUCUUGGUGAAAGCGGCACAUUGUUCAACAGGUUUCCAGAUACAAAAAACAUUUAAGAAAAGCCUUUUUAUAGCAACAAGUUUAAGCCUAAGUAGUGCAAAGCAUUAAAAAAAAAGUAAUAUAAAUAAUAAUUAUGAAAUAGGUUUUGGAUUUGAACACAUCUUCAGUAAUGAGAGUUUUGCAAAUUAAAGUAAUGACCUAUUAUAUUGCUAUGAACACACUUAACAGUUUUGCCUCAUUAAAAUUCUACCCUACCAAAUUGCAUUUAGUCAAAAUAGUCUUUUAAAGGUUUUUAUUUAAUCAUUGGCAUUUUUUUUUUUAUAAAGAGAUAUAAUGCUUGUCUUCUUUAAUAACAAUAAAAGUAUUAGAACAUAUAAUGUAAUGUUUGGAUAUCGUUGUGGUGAGAUGAUUCAAAGAAAUCAUAUAAUAUAGGGAAGUUUGUGUUGAAUUUAUAUGAAUUGAAAUGAUUUGAAAACUUUGUGUAAGUAAUUUUUUUAUAGGGAAAAUAGUACAAGGAAGAAUGAGAAAUGUAGGAAAACAAAAUGUAUAAAAUAUUAUUGUUUUUGAAUCGCUUGUCAGAUGUUUAAAUGCGUGUGUGUAUUUGUAGUGAGCCUGUAUGUCUCCUCUUAUAUAUUAUGUUGAUUUAAAUGUACUGUUUUUAUGUUUGUAUACUACAAGAGUGACAGUGUCCUGGAAAACUUGACCUGCUCUAGCAUUUGGAGCAUGUAAGAAAUAACUAUUGUUGGGACAUAACUCAAGCAAAUCAUUUUUACCCACCCUUUAAACUACUAAUCUUGUAAAGCUUGGUUUUCAAUGUUAUUUGAAAACUAACUUAAGUGUUCUUAUUUGAAUCAUUAGUUGAAUUCUUGAUCUUUUGAAAGCUUAAUUCUGAAUUCUUAACAUAGUAAGUUGAUGAUAUAAAGUUCAUUGUUAUGGUUUCUAAGAUCUUAAUAAUGAAUUCUUGACAUAGUAAGUUGAUGGUAUCAGGUUUUCUGUUUGGGUUUUUAAGAUUUUAAUAAUGAAUUCUUGACAUUGUAAGUUGAUGAUAUCAGGUUUUCUGUUUGGGUUUUAAAGAUUUUAAUAAUGAAUUCUUGACAUAGUAAGUUUAUGAUAUAAGGUUUUUCUGUUUGGGUUUCUAAGAUCUUAAUAAUGAAUUCUUGACAUAGUAAGUUGAUGAUAUAAAGUACUUUUUUAGGGUUUCUAAGAUCUUAAUAAUGAAUUCCUGACAUAGUAAGUUGAUGAUAUAAGGUUCAUUGUUAGAGUUUCUAAGAUCUUAAUUCCUGACAUAGUAAGUUGAUGAUAUAAGGCUCAUUGUUAGGGUUUCUAAGAUCUUAAUUCCUGACAUAGUAAGUUGGUGAUAUAAAGUUCAUCGUUAGGGUUUUGUUCUGUACUUCUGCUUUAUCAUGAAAGUAGUUUUUCUUUCUUUUCUUCUAGUUUGUUACUUGAAUGAAAAAAGUAGGUUAACAUGAGAUAGUUUUAUUUGUAGUCACAAGAACUGAAUAAUUUUUAUAUUGCGAUUCGGUCAAUAUGAGCAUUAUGAUUGAAACAAAACUGAAAGAUUUAUGGUUCCUAUAGGUGUACUUAAACUUGUCAUCUGGGUAUGUCCUGAGUCCUUUAUAAUUAAAGACACGUUCUGAUUUUGUCAUAGUGCAGCUUUUUAAUGUCGAUUAGCUAUUAGUUUCUUAGAAUCAUCAUAUUUAGUGCAGUUACUAAAUAAAAUAACUUUACCUUCCCUCCUGUUAAGUAAAGGAUAACACACUGGUAAGUUUUGAAACAUGAAAUAUUUUUAUUAAUUAUUCCUACUGUGGUUGUAAUAUCACUCGCUCAAUGAAGUAUUAAGUGGCAGUAGUUAUUUGUUGAGCUUCAACGGACCACAUUUCAUUCGAUCCUUUUGUCAAUUCUUUUUACCAGUUCUCUUUCUUUCAAUACUUUGUGGAAAGACCUAAAUUUAUUUCGAUUUAGCGAUCAAGUGUAUCAGAAUGAAGAACAAAUAUAUGUAUUAAAAUGGUGCUAUUGGACUGUUGCAUUUUUUUUUAUUGUAUCCAAUCUUAUCAAUAAUAAAUUCUGAUAUUUCACACUGUCUUGCUGAUUACUGACGUUCAUUGUAUUAUAAUAGCUGAAGACACAAUGCAUAAAAAAAAGUGUUGAAUACAAAUGCCAGAUCGUGGAUUUAUCUUAAUCCUUCUUUUCAAAAUUCUCCAGCACAUCAGCGGUAAGCUUCGGGGGCUUAUGAUGUUUAAAUCCAGGGUACGAUCCAUGCAGCUUACAAUAACUAUUUAUAAGAGUUUUUCUCAAAAUUCACCUGUGUUCUAUUGAUCAUAGAAGAAACUUCUCUAGUAUUAUCUCUCAUCCGAAAUCGUAGAGAAAAUCUGUUUAGAUCCUUAUAAAAUUGUUCAUGUUAAUACGACAUGAUUAAACGUGAGAAUAAAAUAUUUACAACAUUAUUUCAUGAUUGUUUCGGUAGUUUCACACUAAAGAAGCUAGACAGUACAUAGAAGUUUCGUUUACUAAUCAGCACAUUUAAAAAGUUGCCUUUUUGUUGAGAAGCGCUUUAAAGGAAAGUUUUAGGGUAAAGAAAUCAUUUGGUUUGAUAAGCUGUUAAUUCAUUGCGUGUCAGGCAGGAAUAAGUAAUUCGUAUGUCAUUAGGUAUAAAGGCAGACCACGAAUGAAAAGUAUUAAAAUGAGUAAUAUUUAGUAAUAAUGUUCAUCACUUAGUCAUUUUCAGAAUGUUAAUUUUUUUUUAAAGCGCUUUGAUAAUCCGUGUCACGAAGUUAAAAUGAGACAAACUGGCGGAAAUUUGAAAAAAAAAAGAGUAGAUUGCCAAACUUUUUAUAUUCUUUGUCGCUGUCUUCAUUUGUAUGUUUUUUUAUAUGGUUAAAUUUUCUAUAUACCCGUCUUACUACAGGGUAACAACUGAAUGACAUUUCUGUGGUAAUAAAUUUGAUAUAAAGACUUAAUUUUACAUCGUGACUUAUGUUAAAUCACAAGUAAUUGAUUAUGUAGGUUAGUUACACGUAGCCCCCCAGUGGCACAGCGGUAUGUCUGCGGACUUGCAACGCUAGAAUCCGGGUUUCGAUAUCCGUGGUGGGCAGAUCACAGAUAACCCAUUGUGUUGCUUUGUGCUUAAUCUCAAACAAGCUACACGUAGCGGUUUUAAGUUCAUUAGAAAGCCUUUUUAUUCAAGUAUAAAGUUCCUUUGAAUGAUAAAACUGAAGAGUGUAACGAGGGACAGUUAAUAUUCUUUUUUAUUUUUCUAUAAACCUAGAUGUUUUUUAUCUCAUCUUAUAAAAGCAAUUGAUGAAUUAUGUCUGUUGUUUGUAUUUUAUAUUGUUUGUUGGCAUUUAUCAUAUAAUGCAUAUGAACCCCUGUAAAAGUGUUUUCUUCACGUUAUUUCUCUCAGAUGAAAAAAAAACACCAUGAGUUUUGGACGUGUGUCAUCAAUUCACUGGUGUUCAUAAGGUAACCGAAGCUAUUUGGAAAUAAAAUAGUUUAAAUUUUGAUUGUUUUAUACGAGUUUGAUGGAUAGCACGUAAAAAAAAAAUGUUUGAAGAAUUUGUUAAAUGAAAUUUGCUUAACAUAUUGUGUGUAUUAAAUCAACAUAUUUUUCGUUGUGACUGAAAAAUUGUGUUUGGUAUUGGUAGGAAAUAUUUUUAAAAAGUCAAGUUAUUUAGUGUUUAAGAACAAAAGUCGUUAAUUAAGAACUCUUGGGAAAGUUUAUUUUGUAAAUUUUGCGAACCUGACGUGACUUUAGCUUUUAUAAUGAUUAAGAAAUGCACUUCGCCAUCAACAGAAAUUGUACAACUUUCUGUGUUUGUGUAUGUGAUGUCUUGGCGUAGUUAUAUUUGAUUGUAAUCGUUUUUGGUUGUGAAUUAAUCUUACAAGUCUGCACAAAUAAAGAGAAAAUAUUCGAUUCUGAC